CCUCAUAAAGUCUCAAAAGUGAAGCAAGUUUGGAUCAAGAAGGAAGACCAUGUUCUUCCUCAUGUUGGUGACUAGUUUCUUUAUUUUAUGUAUCUAGACCAUUCUCUUAUUUGUGUGUGCUUCAUGGUGUCUAGAUACAUUGUCAUGCAUUUGCACCGUGUUCUUUUAUUUUAUUACUUUUAAAUGUGGUCAUUGCAUGCAUA
rnacentral:lncRNA from 1 species